GUAGUCCAUGCCGUAAACGGUGGGCGCUAGGUGUGAGUCCCUUCCACGGGGUUCGUGCCGUAGCUAACGCAUUAAGCGCCCCGCCUGGGGAGUACGGCCGCAAGGCUAAAACUCAAAGGAAUUGACGGGGGCCCGCACAAGCGGCGGAGCAUGUGGAUUAAUUCGAUGCAACGCGAAGAACCUUACCUGGGCUUGACAUACACCAGAUCGUCGUAGAGAUACGGUUUCCCUUUGUGGUUGGUGUACAGGUGGUGCAUGGUUGUCGUCAGCUCGUGUCGUGAGAUGUUGGGUUAAGUCCCGCAACGAGCGCAACCCUUGUCUUAUGUUGCCAGCAAUUCGGUUGGGGACUCGUGAGAGACUGCCGGGGUUAACUCGGA
rnacentral:rRNA from 1 species